UCCUCCGAUUCGGUACGUAUUUUGCAGGUCCCUUCGUAGAGGUUUAGUGGCCAGGGCUGCAGCAUGGUGGAGGGAGUCGCUGAGGGUGUUUUGCAACAGUUUGAUGUUAGAUCCUACAGGCAAAAGUCUUGGAUUGUCAGGAAGUAAGUUUGGGUGCUGGUCCAUCGUGAUGUGUACAAAAACAG